UGGGAUGAUGAUUCAUAGACUAGAGUCUCUGACAAAAGUGUGAAGUUAUUUUCACAGUGCACUGACCA
rnacentral:snoRNA from 1 species